CAGUCGCCACGGGAAUACGAAGGGGGCUAGCGUUGUUCGGAUUUACUGGGCGUAAAGGGCGCGUAGGCGGGCGAUUAAGUCAGGGGUGAAAUCCCAAGGCUCAACCUUGGAACUGCCUUUGAUACUGAUUGUCUUGAGUCCGGGAGAGGUGAGUGGAACUGCGAGUGUAGAGGUGAAAUUCGUAGAUAUUCGGAAGAACACCAGUGGCGAAGGCGGCUUACUGGCUCAUACUGGACGCUGAGGUGCGAAAGCGUGGGGAGCAAACAGGAUUAGAUACCCGCGUAGUCCCUGUCUCUUAUAC
rnacentral:rRNA from 1 species